rnacentral:rRNA from 1 species
UACGGAGGGUGCAAGCGUUAUCCGGAUUCACUGGGUUUAAAGGGUGUGUAGGCGGACUUUUAAGUCCGGGGUGAAAUCUCCGGGCUCAACCCGGAAACUGCCAUGGAUACUAUUGGUCUUGAAUAUUGUUGAGGUGGGCGGAACGGGUCAUGUAGCGGUGAAAUGCAUAGAUAUGACCCGGAACACCGAUUGCGAAGGCAGCCCACUAAGCAAUGAUUGACGCUGAGGCACGAAAGCGUGGGGAUCAAACAGG